GUUUUCGUGGUGUAGUUGGCUAUCACAUUCGCCUCACACGCGAAAGGUCUCCGGUUCGAGCCCGGGCGAAAACA
rnacentral:tRNA from 1 species